AUCUCUUUGCCUUUUGGCUUAGAUCAAGUGUAGUAUCUGUUCUUUUCAGUGUAACAACUGAAAUGUCCUCAAUGAGGAUAUUUAUCAUGUUACGAUUUUCUUUUUGGAACCAAA
rfam:Lachancea mirantina genome assembly, chromosome: F